ensembl:snRNA U6 U6 spliceosomal RNA
GGGCUCACCUUGGGAGCACAUAUAUUAAAAUUGGAACCAUACAGAGAAAAUUGGCAUGGCUUGUGUGCAAGAAUGACAUGCAAAGUCACGAAGCAUUCCAUAAUUUU